rnacentral:pre_miRNA from 1 species
GCCCUCUGCUGUGGUCUAUGGCUUUUUAUUCCUAUGUGAUUGCGUUUCCUAACUCAUGUAGGGCUAAAAGCCAUGGGCUACAUAGAGGACG